CCUACGGGUGGCAGCAGUGGGGAAUAUUGCACAAUGGGCGAAAGCCUGAUGCAGCAACGCCGCGUGAAGGAAGACGGUUUUCGGAUUGUAAACCUCUUUUGUCGGGGAACAAAGGCGUCCACGGGUGGGCGGAUGAGUGUACCCGAAGAAAAAGCAUCGGCUAACUCCGUGCCAGCAGCCGCGGUAAUACGGAGGAUGCGAGCGUUAUCCGGAUUUAUUGGGUUUAAAGGGUGCGUAGGCGGACAGUCAAGUCAGCGGUAAAAAUGCGGUGCUCAACGCCGUACAGCCGUUGAAACUGGCAGUCUUGAGUGGGCGAGAAGUAUGCGGAAUGCGUGGUGUAGCGGUGAAAUGCAUAGAUAUCACGCAGAACUCCGAUUGCGAAGGCAGCAUACCGGCGCCCUACUGACGCUGAGGCACGAAAGCGUGGGUAUCGAACAGGAUUAGAUACCCCGGUAGUC
rnacentral:rRNA from 1 species